CACCACCAACUAAUAAUACCAAUACUACCAGCACCAGCCACCAUAAACACCACCACCAACCACUACAAACACCACCAAUAUCGACACCAUAAACAUCACUAAUACCAACACCACGAACUAAUGCCACCAACAGCAACGACAAAUAACAUCAAUAUCGACACCACCAACAUCCACCACAAACACCACCAAUGUGACCAACACCACCAAUACCACCAACACCACCACCAUACCACCAACACCGAAACCAAAACCAAAACCAAAACCAAUGCCACUAAUAUCAACACCAAGAUCACCAACACCACUAAUGCCAUUAUGAUAACCACCACCACCAC
rnacentral:lncRNA from 1 species